rnacentral:rRNA from 1 species
AACGAACGCUGGCGGCAGGCCUAGCACAUGCAAGUCGAGCGAGGACUUCGGUCCUAGCGGCGGACGGGUGAGUAACGCGUGGGAACGUGCCCUUUGCUACGGAAUAGCCCCGGGAAACUGGGAGUAAUACCGUAUGUGCCCUUCGGGGGAAAGAUUUAUCGGCAAAGGAUCAGCCCGCGUUGGAUUAGGUAGUUGGUGGGGUAAUGGCCUACCAAGCCGACGAUCCAUAGCUGGUUUGAGAGGAUGAUCAGCCACACUGGGACUGAGACACGGCCCAGACUCCUACGGGAGGCAGCAGUGGGGAAUCUUAGACAAUGGGGGAAACCCUGAUCUAGCCAUGCCGCGUGAGCGAUGAAGGCCUUAGGGUUGUAAAGCUCUUUCAGUGGGGAAGAUAAUGACGGUACUCACAGAAGAAGCCCCGGCUAACUCCGUGCCAGCCGCCGCAGUAACAC